AGCUUAACCUUCGGGAGGGCGCUUACCACUUUGUGAUUCAUGACUGGGGUGAAGUCGUAACAAGGUAACCGUAGGGGAACCUGCGGUUGGAUCACCUCCUUACCUGAAGAUAC
rnacentral:rRNA from 1 species